UUAACAAAUAGUGGAAAGUAUAACACACAAUCAUCCACACAUAAUACAAGUUCGGAAUCUUCACACUAACAAUGAUGGAAUGACAAAGCCCUCACUCUUAGACCUUGGGAGGUGUUGGGUCAUGUCGGCCGUACAUGAUCACCACAUCUUCCCAUGAACAGGCAAACACGAUAUGUCAGGUCGGAACCUAGAAGGUGAGGAAGUACCCAAUCUGCAGCUUGUGUUCUAUGGCAAAGCCAGGCCAACCUUGAUCCAUGGCACCCUCCCGUUGACAUCUCAGAGCCUCAUCACCCAGUACCAACCAUUGUUCGUCUUCAGAGAGAUCUCCCUUGGGAUGGUACCAAGGUGCUCCCUGAAGGUAUCGGGGAUGUGAAGUAGAUCCAAUCAAGAUGCUAAGGGCCCUUGUAGAACAGGAUUUGACAUGCUUCCUCGUGGAAAUGCCCAACAUUCACCGGCCUCCCCCAAUGCUUGUUGGAGGCAUUGCCUUCUGCUGCAUCCUUGCCCUUGGAGAAACGCCAUCAAUAGCAUUGUCGAGGACCAACUUGCUGACAAAGUCCCGUAACGAGAACAUAGGCAUAUUAUGCAUAGACCAGAACUACAGUGUUGAUGAUCUUCACACGCAUGCUAUCAUGUAGAAGGGAAGAGUUGGUACAAGGAUCAUAACUAUAAUGUGUUGAGACAAUCCUCAUACCAACAACCACCCUAAUACAUUGACAACUUAGCAAAGAAGAUCAUAUUGAUGUACCACAAAUUGUAUUGAUC
rnacentral:lncRNA from 1 species